rnacentral:rRNA from 1 species
CUUAUGCCGGCGACCGGCGGACGGGUGCGUAACGCGUAUGUAACCUACCUUUGACAGGGGAUAACAUCGAGAAAUUGGUACUAAUACCCCAUAACAUCACCGGAGGCAUCUUCGGUGGUUGAAAACUCAGGUGGUCAGAGAUGGACAUGCGUUGUAUUAGCUAGUUGGUGAGGUAACGGCUCACCAAGGCGACGAUACAUAGGGGGACUGAGAGGUCAACCCCCCACAUUGGUACUGAGACACGGACCAAACUCCUACGGGAGGCAGCAG